rnacentral:rRNA from 1 species
UACGUAGGUGGAAAGCGUUGUCCGGAUUUACUGGGCGUAAAGAGCGCGCAGGCGGUCGAGUAAGUCGAAUGUGAAAGCCCCCGGCUUAACUGGGGAGGGUCAUUCGAUACUGUUCGACUUGAAGGCAGGAGAGGGCAGCAGAAUUCCCGGUGUAGUGGUGAAAUGCUUAGAUAUCGUCAAGAACACCUAUAGCGAAGGCAGCUUACUAGGCUGUAACUGACGCUGAGGCACGAAAGUGUGGGGAUCAAACAGG